rnacentral:miRNA from 1 species
AUGCCGAUUUUGGUUCAGCAGCGUUGAGCUGAGGCCUGAGAUUCUGCAUUUCUCACAGGCUCCCAGGUGAUGCUGAUGCUGCUGGUCCAUGGAUCACACUUU